CUCUUCUGCGUAUGGAAAAGGAUGGAGGCAGAAGAAUCUACAACAUCAAUCCUAGGGCAAAAUACAUGUCCCAAGAGAUUAACCCAACAAUCUUCAAGAAGAACGCAGAAGGCAAUUCCUCCAAGGAAAAUGAGCUACUUCAGAACCUCUGUGUUUGGCUGAAGAUCAUUCUGGGUACCAUCCAUCAUCGCCCAGCGUCAAACUCCUCAUACUACAUCAACACAGAUCAGAAGUGCAUUCUGUACUGCAUCCACAAGGGUCUGAAGCUCUGCCUUCCAG
rnacentral:lncRNA from 1 species